AGGCAAUGAUGAUUGAAAUUUUAUACCAUCAAACUAAGAAAGCUUAAUUAUAAGCUUAUUGAUUUAUCUCAAUUCUUAUUUUCUGAGCCU
rfam:Solanum lycopersicum cultivar Heinz 1706 chromosome 10, whole genome shotgun sequence.